rnacentral:rRNA from 1 species
UUCUGGCUCAGGAUGAACGCUGGCGGCGUGCUUAACACAUGCAAGUCGAACGAAGCCAAAAGGAAGCUUGCUUCUUGAAGCUUAGUGGCGGACGGGUGAGUAACGCGUGAGGAACCUGCCCUUCAGUGGGGAAUAACAGCCGGAAACGACUGCUAAUACCGCAUAACGUCAUCGGACCGCAUGAUCUGAUGACCAAAGGAUUUAUUCGCUGAAGGAUGGCCUCGCGUCCGAUUAGGCAGUUGGUGAGGUAACGGCCCACCAAACCUACGAUCGGUAGCCGAACUGAGAGGUUGAUCGGCCACAUUGGGACUGAGACACGGCCCAGACUCCUACGGGAGGCAGCAGUGGGGAAUAUUGGGCAAUGGGCGAAAGCCCUGACCCAGCAACGCCGCGUGAAGGAAGACGGUCUUCGGAUUGUAAACUUCUUUGAUUGGGGAGGAACACAAUGACCUACCCAAAGAACAAGUCACGGCUAACUACGUGCCAGCCGCUGC